ACUCCUACGGGAGGCAGCAGUAGGAAUUUUCCGCAAUGGACGAAAGUCUGACGGAGCAAUGCCGCGUGAGUGAUGAAGGUUUUCGAAUCGUAAAGCUCUGUUGUAAGGGAAGAAUAGCAGUAGUAGGAAAUGACUACUGUGUGACGGUACCUUACCAGAAAGCCACGGCUAACUACGUGCCAGCAGCCGCGGUAAUACGUAGGUGGCAAGCGUUAUCCGGAAUUAUUGGGCGUAAAGCGCAUGUAGGCGGUUUGUCGCGUCUGCUGUGAAAUCCCGAGGCUCAACCUCGGGUCUGCAGUGGGUACGGGCAGACUAGAGUGCGGUAGGGAGA
rnacentral:rRNA from 1 species